rnacentral:sRNA from 1 species
GGGGCUAUGUCAGACCCUGGGUUCCCAGCCCACUCUCUACCAGAUCCCUAGCCUCUACUGUUCCUAUGAGACCAAUUCCAACGCCUACCUGCUGCUCCAGCCCAUCCGGAAGGAGGUCAUCCACCUGGAGCCCUACAUUGCUCUCUACCAUGACUUCGUCAGUGACUCAGAGGCUCAGAAAAUUAGAGAACUUGCAGAACCAUGGGUGAGUGUCCUGAGAACCCGCCAAGAAUUUCUCUUUCAUCUUCACAUGCCUGGAGUUCAGGAGUGUAAGAAUAGGCGACCUGAACAACUAGACACCUCAAAGAGCCAAGGAGUUCAGAAUGCCAACCAUUCCAUAAAACUAGUCCAUGGUGGAAAAAAAUCACAAUAGUGCUUGCCUCUGGAGGGAAAGGAUUAACUGGAUGAUGUGCAAGAGGAUUCUCUGGGGUAUUGAAAAUGUGCUCUCAAUAUCUUGUUAGGGACAUGGUACAUGUGGCUGUAUGCAUUUGUCAAAACUCACCAAAUGGUCCACUUGAGACCUGUGUAUAUCAUUGUAUGUAAGUUUAACCUAAAAAAAGACAAAUAAAAAAGAACACUUC